rnacentral:rRNA from 1 species
UACGUAGGGGGCAAGCGUUGUCCUGAGUUACUGGGCGUAAAGCGCACGCAGGCGGUCUCUUAAGUUUGGAGUGACAGUUGGUGGCUUAACUGCCAAAGUGCUUCGAAAACUGAGAGACUUGAGGGCUUCAGAGGGACACGGAAUUCCGGGUGGAGUGGUGAAAUGCGUAGAGAUCCGGAGGAACACCAAAGGCGAAGGCAGUGUCCUGGGGAGUACCUGACGCUCAGGUGCGAAAGCCAGGGGAGCGAACGGG